rnacentral:rRNA from 1 species
UACGUAGGUGGCAAGCGUUGUCCGGAUUUACUGGGCGUAAAGAGCGCGCAGGCGGUCGUUCAAGUCGCGUGUGAAAGCCCCCGGCUCAACUGGGGAGGGUCACGCGAUACUGAUCGACUCGAAGGCAGGAGAGGGUAGUGGAAUUCCCGGUGUAGUGGUGAAAUGCGUAGAUAUCGGGGAGGAACACCAGUGGCGAAGGCGACUACCUGGCCUGUUCUUGACGCUGAGGCGCGAAAGCGUGGGGAGCGAACAGG